ACAUUUGUAUACUGCAAAUUGAAAAAAUAAUGAAUAGAGAAAUAUUGAUCUAGAGGUUAAAAGACAUAUACUGUUGAUGUCUUAGUUGCUGCUUAGAAACAAGGCAUCUUGUUAACAAUUGUUGCACAACACAUUGUUGGAUGUUUGUAAGCGUUUUUUUGGACCUUGUCUAUGUUUUGUUUGGUCUCUGUGUUAGUCUGUCCAUAUUGAGGUAAUUUAUUUGUGCAUAAUGAUAUGAUUGUUUGUGCAGUAAAACAUGGUUAUUACAAAGCUCCCAGGUCAAGAGUUUUGAUUUGUUAUAUACCGGUACCAUGAGGUUAAACUACAAUUUAAAGAUAAGGUGUAUGUGUGAACUUGUUAUAGGCAUGUUUGCUGGAACUAUGUUUUACUGUAUAAUGUGUAAAUGUUAAAAGUUGACAAUGUUUGACUACUUUCAGAUUUGAAUGUGCUUUGUGUAAAUGCAUACCCCCUGCACAGAUAUCAUAUGAUGGUCAUAUUUGUUUAGUUUUCAAUGCAGAGAAAGUGUUUUGAUUUAAUAUACCAAUCUUUCUUUAUCUAUGAGGUGGAAUGGGACAUUUUGCUAUAUUUAUCAUAAUGAAAGUACAAAAGACAUGUAUAUUCAGACAGUUAUAAAUUGAGCCUUUCAACGUUUUCAAAAUUUUUGAAGAUUACAAAUUGGAGGCGCCCCAUUCUGCCUUAUAAUUUUUAUUUCCUUUACAUUUCCCCCAAUCAAGUUAUUAGCACAGAUAAUCCAAUGGUCUUCACCUAUCCUAUCUUGUAUAUCAUCAAUGUAUGAUGUAUGUCUGCACAUAGUAUUUGCAUAUAUAUUGAUUUUACAAAAAUCACUUUGUAUGUUACAAUUUUUAAGUGUUUAUAAUUAUGCAUUAUUUCAACAUGUACUACUGCUUCUGUUUAGAUCUACAUAUAGAACACGUGAUGUUCAUCGGGAGGAUUUCGUUGGAAGUGAUUCCUGUUACCCAAAUUGUGAAUCAGAAUAACGUUUAAAUUGUUUUGGGAUGUCUGUUUAUUAAAUUUACUAUAUGGUU
rnacentral:sRNA from 1 species